UUCAUUCUGACGGAGCGGACUCAUCUUGCAUGGUGCCAAAGACGAAGGGAGCUUCUGGGCACAUGCACCUUAUCUCAGAAAAGCAUUUGAUGGAGGAACUAAGGUGACUCAAUUUACGGAGGCGAAGUUGGGUUCAGAAGGCCUUAGCACGGGGCAAGAGGAUGCAGAGGCGGGUGCUCUUGAAUAAUAUGCCACAGUGUUACAAAUCAAGUUGCUAGGCAGGAAGCGGUGCGCAGCGGAGAUUAUGCUGGUAGGGGCAGAGGCCCAGGAUCCAGACAAUGGGGCACUAAUUGCAGUGAAGUCGGGGCACUUCGGGAGCUACUAGGUGACAGACUGUCCUAGAGCGGUGCUUCAUCUAGGUGUGACCCAAGAGUGGGUGGAUGAAGGUCGAUUGCCAAAUGAGCGAACAAAAUUAAAGGUGAAAGAGACCUUGCGAUAUAUUGGCAGAGGCCACACAUGGAGGGUUCACAAUUCGAGUUCAUCCCACAAGAAUCAAAAUGCAAUAGAGAUGUCACCAAGAGGCGACAUGGUGCAGCAGAUCGUGGUGGAACAGUUCGUGGCAAAUGCGAUACACACGAUCUAGUCCCGUGAGGGACUAGAUCAUAUGGAGGUAUGAUCGGGAGCUACUGGAAGCUCCACUUCGGUGAACAACAUGACGACAAGAAGGGCUAUAGAUUCAAGGAGUGAAGGCCAUGGUACCGUAGAGGCGGGUCUUCCGUGCGUGCAUCGAAUUUUGCAUCGGAUGAAAACCUUGGUCAUCAGCAUAUGGGGGCUAGGUUCCACCAAGAGAAAAGUUCGAAUGCAAGUACCAGUGAGUCCCAUGGGAGGGACUUGAUCAUGCAGAGGUAUGAUCGAAACAGCUGGAGAGUUGGAUUGCUCUAGAGUCCAUAUUCGCUUAAGGGUGCCCGACAAGUCAGAGGAUAAGGUCGAGUAAGCGAACGUUGCUACCAAGGAAGCUAAGGAGAACAGAAUUGAUGCAAACCCUAUAAUGCGAUGGCAGAGGCCAUGCAUGGGAGUUGCAGUCUGUCUUUCCAUCGACCAAAGAGGAGCUGCUUGGAGAACACAGAGGUGUUGAAGUAGGGGGUCGAAAGGGGCGAGGAAGCGACGACGAGUCCAGAGGGACUUAGCUACCCAAAAUCAAGCAUCAGUUAGAAUAUAGGUGGACUCAGAGGAAUGCCACAGAGACAUAUCUACUGAUCGUGAAGAAAAGGGAUGCAGAUGCGAGGCGACGGAUAGUAGGGCCAUGGGCAUGGCAGCGCCAUGGUACCGCUAAGGCGGGACUUCCGUGAAAGUCAUUGAUCCCUUGCUCUCAUUGAGGGAAAGCGCUUAGUCGUGAAAGGGGCCGAGGAGGUGGAGCAUGCAAAGGCAAUCUCCAAGUACCGAGACAAGGCUGAAGGGCAGAGGCCGAGGAACUUUGUAAGACAGGUGUUAAUGAGCUUCUCAUCAAGAUAGCCGAAAGUGAAGGACUUCGGGUCAUGCAAGAGUGCAUAACCAAGGAACGAAGCAGGCAGUACGCGGUGCUGUACCUUUGCUACUCAGUGGAGUAGGCGGCAGGGUUGAUGGAGAAGACGGUACAAUCCUAGAGGCGACCAAAUCUAUUAGAGAAUUACUCCAAGUUGGGGUGAAAACUUCCUGUAUUCCAGAAGUUCGAUGGCAUUGAGAAGUGUGAGCAAAGAGCAGGCGAAGGCCAGUAACCAACUCGAUGCAUGGAGUACAACCUCGAGGAGGCGGGCGAAGUCAAGUAACCUUUGCCUUCUCAACUCUUAAGAGAAUGGGCGAAACCGAGUACCCCAAUUCUCUUAUCUAUCCAGCAGAGGAGCUCUGUACAAGUUCAAAGACCCUUCGAAGAUAAUAGUUGUCAAAUCCUCACCAACGGUGAUCAAUGCUACUGAGAGUAGAUUGUCCGCUUCAUUUCCCAACGAAAUGCCAAUCAAAAGCGGAAGUGAUGCGAACCUACUUGGAUGUGACAACUAAGUGAAAGAAGGGUCAAUGAGCAAAUUUUGUGGAGGAAGGACCCAAAAUGUCAGAAGUUUACGAGAGGAUGCUCGUUAAAGCUCCAACAAGCAUCCACCCAGUUCUAGCAGCAUGAGGCAUUUGAGAGACUAGCGCAGUAAGGAUGGUCUUUUCCUUCAUCUGGAGGAUCCGUAGGAACAAAUAGGGAUCAACACAACUCAGCCAACCCCACACUAAAGUCAGAGUCAUUGGCGAGUUGAAGUAGCAUCGCAGAUCAAAGGUUCGACUACUCGAAAGCAAAAGCGGAGAGCAACUAGGAGCCAGGAGGCGCAUUGCAGUUGGAGUAGAAGAUUGAAGACUCAGCAAAGGUGAGGAGUUGUAGUGUCGACAAAGGCUUCGACAAGGACGUCGAAGGAAUAAGUGGGGGAGAAUGUCACGGACAAACUUCUAAACAGGAUGUUUGAUAUAAUGCUUAUGUAUGUCCGUAUCUUUCGGUAUGUUCGUGCUUUGUACAUCAUGUAGAGGGACGGACGAAGGCUUAAUAGUCCCAUUUUAGUUAGGUUGGUGGUCGCUUUAGGCUUGUAAAUAAAGGUUGCGUCAUGUGGACACGUGUGAGAGAUUUUUGAUCUAUAAUGGACCAUUUUACCCUUUGUUGUGCAACUGUUCAGAGCUUGUAAAGUCUGUUUGUAAUUUGCAUUGUCUAUGAAGUGUUUUUGGAGAUGUUUGCUUGUGGAUCCCGAAUGAGGCGUUUUCUCUAACCCGUUCCUUCUUUUGUGGGUCCUAAGGGACAUGGGAGACUUCGGGGAAGCUGACCUUUACAGACGGACACGCAAGGGUGCCGCACGACUUAGGCAAAACCAACUAAGUUUGUGACACUCUGCCGCACAGCCCACUACCGGCAGGGUGGCGGAGGCGGCGGUAGCAGCAACAGCAGGGGAGGAUGAGGGCAUUAGGGUUUUUUGGGCAAAAGAUAAUUUUGCCCCUCGAAAUUUGAGAAAUUUCAGUUUUUGUCUUUUGUCUAAAUUAUGAAAAUACCCAUAGGAAUUAAGAAAUUCCCUAUAUGUCCCUGAUUUCAUAAAAUACUAAUUAAUUAAAAAUUUUAGUUGAUUAUUAUUUUUAUUAUUAUUUAGUAGUCCUACAUGAUGAUGCUUAUUUAUACAUGUGAUGUAUGAUGUGUGGACGGAUGAUCAUGGACCGUAUGAUAUAUGUACUUGUGAUUAUUAUUAUUGGGGUCUGCGAGCCUCUAUUAUAUUUCUCGUUUAUUAUCGGGCCUGCAUGCAUCUGAUUAAGUUGUAAUCACAUGAGGAGGCGCAGCGGGAGCGUGGAUACGAUAGCGGGACCCACGAGACGGACGAUCGCGAUGCAAGAAGAUGCAUCGAGAUGUCGACGGAAUCGACGAGGACAAGAUGGACGAUCACAGGGCAUGGAGAUGCACCGUUGCAAACAUAGAUCUUAAUGUGAGUGAUUAGGCCUACUGGCUCGGGCCUAAUCAUAUUAGGUUGUGGUCCAUGAUCAUCUGGUGUGAUUGCUUAUACACAUACUAGAUAUGUAUAUAUACUUGUAUGCGAUGUAGAUAUAUAUUAAAUAUGUAUAUGUGUGACAUGUUAUAUUAGGAGACCAAAUCAUGGAAACAUCUCUCUCGAUAAUAUUAUGUCGGUAAACGUGAGGCAAUUAGAUUGACCCACAUGGCCUUCCAUCGUUAUAAGUAGGAACCAAUUCCCGGUGUAGGUUGAGUUGGUCGAGUCCCUCGAGACUCACCUAUAUUGUGAUUCGCUAUCUUGCUUACGAUAUAGAGAUGUCACCGGUGACCUGAGGACAUGGUAUGCUUGGUCGAGUCCCUCGAGGGUAUAUCAUCAAAUCAGACUUACCUUGUAACGAAGGUGUUGACAUAACCGAGCAUCAUGAUUAGUCGAGUCCCUCGAGACCAUGGUGAUUCGGAGGCCGAACAGGACAGAAAUCACAAGAAGUUGUGAUCGGCAAGAGUUGCCUACCUUUUAGGCUUAGUGUGAUUGGUCGAGUCCCUCGAGGUUACACUAAAACGCUGAUUGGAUCCUGAUCCCCACUAGAAGUCUGCCGGAGACUUCCGUUUCACGUGCUGAGGGUGUCGCGUGACUCGUUAGUAAAAUAGUGGGAGCAUAUUAAGAUAGAAGUCCAUAUCUUGAUAGUUUAUUUCUUACAAAAUCUACAUGUUAUUCAUUUCUGCUGCAUCUUUAUUUUCAGAAAAUGUCGCUUUCAAAUCCCUUACGUAGCAUACUUGAUGUCAACUGCCUCACUAGUCCAAAUUAUACAGAUUGGCUUCGUAACUUGAGAAUUGUUCUCACGGCGGAGAAAAUCGUGUACGUCCUUGAUACAGUGAUGCUAUGCCUGAAGAAGGGGCAAGCGAGGAUGAGAUCGCUCGCUACGUGAAGUACAUUGAUGACUCCACUCUUGCUCAGUGCUAUAUGUUAGGCUCUAUGACUCCUGAGUUACAGAGACAACAUGAAAAGAUGGAUGCCAGAUCCAUUCUCCUACAUGUCCGUAAAUUGUUUGAGGAAUAGGGAAGGACUCAGUGAUAUGAGAUAUCCAAGAGACUCUUCUGCGCUAGGAUGACUGAGAGGACACCAAUUCAAAACCAUGUCCUAAAGAUGAUUGAGUGGAUAGAGAAACUCACAGGUCUAGGAAUGGUCCUAGAGGAUAACUUAUGUGGACAUUGUGCUUCAGUCCCUACCAGAUUCUUUUUCACAGUUCAUAAUAAAUUUUAAUAUGAACAAGCUUGAGGUGACUCUCCUAGAGCUCCUCAAUAUGUUGAGGGAGGUAGAGAGUACUAUUAAGAAAGAGAAGCCAGUUCUCUACACUAGUGAGACCAGAAAAAAAAGGAAAGCAAAAAGGUCCCUUAAGAAGGGAAAGGGCAAGGGCAGACCAGGUAAAGCAAAGGUUGCUAAGAAAGACCCAACAAAGGACAAAGGCCGGUACUUCCACUGUGGUAAAGAUAGGCAUUGGAAGAGGAACUGCAAAGAGUACCUUGUAGAAAGGGCGAAACAAAAGCUUGAUGAAGCUUCAGGUACAUAUCAUGAAUGUAAAUGUGUCCAAGAGGAAAUGAGAUGAGAUGAAUAGUGCAUACCUAUGAUAUUGUAGGCUAGGUCACAUCCAUGAAAGAAUGAUUCAAAAGUUGCUAAAUGAUGGAUAUCUAGAUCCAUUCGACUAUGUGUCAUAUGCAACUUGCGAGCCUUGCCUUCGUGGAAAAUUGACCAACUCUCCAUUUAGUGGAAUUGGAGAGAGAGCCACUGAGCUGUUGGAACUCAUACAUAGUGAUGUAUAUGGACCCAUGUCAACUCAUGCCAUUGGUGGUUACUCCUACUUCAUUACCUUUACUGAUGAUUUCUCAAGGUAUGGAUAUGUGUACUUAAUGAAGUACAAGUCCGAGGCCUUUGAGAAAUUCAGAGAGUAUAAGAAUGAGGUGGAGAACCAAACUGGAAAGAGUAUCAAAACUCUUCGAUCAGAUCGAGGAGGUGAGUACUUAAGUAUAAAGUUUACUCGGUUCCUCAAGGACCAUGUGAUAUUAUCCCAAUGGACACCUCCUUAUACACCUCAGCUCAAUGGUGUCUUUGAAAGGAAAAAUCGUAUGCUAUUAGAUAUGGUAUGGUCCAUGAUGAGUUUCGCUGACCUACCCAUCUCAUUCUGGAGAUAUGCCCUAGAAACCGUAGCUUACCUUCUGAAUAGAGUUCCAACUAAGUCGGUAGUGUCUACACCAUAUGAGAUAUGGAAAGGGAAGAAGUCUGAUCUUAAGGUUGUUAAGAUUUGGGGCUGUCCUGCCCACGUUAAAAGACAUAACCCCGAUAAGUUAGAAUCAAGGACAGAGCGAUGCAAAUUUGUGGGAUACCCCAAGGAAACUUGUUGGUAUUAUUUCUAUCAUCUUGAGGACCAAAAGGUCUUUGUAGCUAAGAGAGCAAUGUUCCUUGAGAAGGAACACAUUCUUAGCGGAGAUAAUGGGAGAAUGAUAGAGUUUAGCGAGGUUGGAGAACUAAGCUUAAGCACCACUCUACAGCCCGAGUCUGUUCAAGAACCUAAUACACAAGUUUCAACUUUAUAUAGGUCUGAUAGAGUAUCUCAUCCUCUUGAGAGAUAUGUGGGACAUAUUAGAGGAGAGGAUGUUGAGGAUAUUGAUCCUCAGACCUACGAGGAGACUAUUAUAAGUAUAGACUCCGGGAAGUUGCAAGAAGCCAUAAAUUAUGAGAUGAAUUCUAUGUACUCCAAUAAGGUUUGGAACCUAGUUGAUGCACCCAAAAAUAUUGUACCCAUCGGUUGCAAGUGGAUCUUUAAGAAAAAGAUUGGAGUAGAUGGAAAGGUAGAGACCAAUAAAGUAAGGCUAGUGGCUAAGGGGUGUCGUCAAAGGCAAGGUGUUGACUAUGACGAAACCUUCUCACCCGUAGCAAUGCUAAAAUCCAUCAGAAUUCUAUUGGCUAUUGUAGCACACUAUGAUUAUGAGAUCUGGUAGAUGGAUAUGAAAACCGCAUUCCUCAAUGAGAGGAGGAGAUGUAUAUGAUGCAACCUGAGGGAUUCGUGUCCAAGAACUACCCAGAUAAGGUGUGUAGGUUGCUUAGAUCCAUUUAUGGACUAAAGCAAGCUUCUCGAAGUUGGAACAUAAGAUUUGAUGAGACAAUCAGAUCUUAUGACUUUGUUAAGAAUGAAGAUGAGCCUUGUGUAUACAGGAAGGUAAGUGGGAGCGCUAUUACCUUUUUGGUGUUAUAUGUGGAUGACAUCCUGAUCAUUGGGAAUGACGUAGGAAUGCUAUCCAUAGUAAAGACUUGGUUAUCUAGACACUUCUCCAUGAAGGACUUAGAGGAAGCAUCCUAUAUCUUGGGGAUUAGUAUCUAUAGAGAUAGAUCCAAGAGGAUGCUUGGCUUGUCCCAGUUCAGGUACAUAGAAACCAUUAUCAAAAGGUUUGGCAUGGAAAAUUCCAAGAGAGGUCUCAUACCGAUGAGACAUGGGAUAUCGCUUUCUACGAGUAUGUCCCCAAAGACUCCAGCAGAAAGGGCGAACAUGGAUAUGAUACCUUAUGCCUCAGUAAUAGGGUCUAUCAUGUAUGCUAUGCUAUGUACCAGGCCUGAUAUAGCGCAUGCUCUGAGUGUCACGAGUAGGUAUCAGGCAGAUCUAGGCUUGGAGCAUUGGAAAGCAGUAAAGUGUCUCCUUAAGUACUUGAGAAGGACUAAGGAUCUUUUACUAGUAUAUGAAGGCAGUAGCCUUAAGGUUGAAGGCUACACAGACUCCAGAGAGAGAAUCAUGUGUAACAGACCGCAUAUGUUGAGGAGGAGUACCUUAACAAACAACAACCCCACGAAGCUCAAUGGACCGAGCAAGCGGCGAGGAGUCAUCACAUGAUCUCACUUGAGAGAAUGCAUUGGUGGAUGCAUUAUGAGAUUAAGUGGGGGAGCGACCCAAAGCAACACAAAUGAAGGCACACUUGGAGUCGAUAUGGAGAUCGGACUCAAAGGAGGGCUGACCCGUGGAAUGGUGGGUGCGAGGGCCACUAUCAACUCAAUGCAAAAAUGAGGAACGGAGCAACUUGGGUGUAACUUGGCGAAGUACCCAAGCCGCAUGAAGGGAGGCAGCAUAGAAGAUGGAACAUGGAGCGGAGGCAUAGUGCUUUCCUUGGACAGAGGUCAAGGACAUGAACUCUUGGAGAGGCAAGAGUAGGAUCAUGUUAUUCUAUGGGUCCUUCAUUCUGACGGAGCGGACUCAUCUUGCAUGUUGCCAAAGAGGAAGGGAGCUUCUGGGCAUAUGCACCUUAUCUCGGAGAAGCAUUUGAUGGAGGAACUAAGGCGACUCAACUUGCAGAGGCGAAGUUGGGUUCAGAAGGCCUUGGCAUGGGGCAAGAGGACGUGGAGACGGGUACUCUUGAAGAAUAUGCCACAGUGUUACCAUUCAAGUUGCCAUGAAGGAAGCAGUGCAUAGCGAAGAUUAUGCUGGUAGGGGCAAAGGCCCA
rnacentral:lncRNA from 1 species